rnacentral:rRNA from 1 species
GACGAACGCUGGCGGCGCGCUUAACACAUGCAAGUCGAGCGAAGCGGCGGACGGGUGAGUAACACGUGAGUAACCUGCCUUAGACAUUGGGAUAGCCUCGGGUAACCGGGAUUAAUACAACAUGGGCUAAGAUGGACUCGCGUCCCAUUAGCUAGUUGGUGAGGUCACGGCCCACCAAGGCGACGAUGGGUAGCCGGCCUGAGAGGGUGAACGGCCACAGUGAAAGUGAGAAGCGGUCCAAACUCUACGGGAGGCAGCAGUGGGGAAUAUUGCACAAGGGAGGGAACUCUGAGGCAGCGACGCCGCGUGAACGAUGAAGGCUUUCGAGUCGUAAAGUUCUUUUAUAUGGGAAGCGGUACUAUAAGAAAAAGCCCCGGCUAACUACGUGCCAGCCGCCGCGGUAAUAC